AUUGAACGCUGGCGGCAGGCUUAACACAUGCAAGUCGAGCGGGGUGAUGGUGCUUGCACUAUCACUUAGCGGCGGACGGGUGAGUAAUGCUUAGGAAUCUGCCUAUUAGUGGGGGACAACAUCUCGAAAGGGAUGCUAAUACCGCAUACGUCCUACGGGAGAAAGCAGGGGAUCACUUGUGACCUUGCGCUAAUAGAUGAGCCUAAGUCGGAUUAGCUAGUUGGUGGGGUAAAGGCCUAACAAGGCGACGAUCUGUAGCGGGUCUGAGAGGAUGAUCCGCCACACUGGGACUGAGACACGGCCCAGACUCCUACGGGAGGCAGCAGUGGGGAAUAUUGGACAAUGGGGGGAACCCUGAUCUAGCCAUGCCGCGUGUGUGAAGAAGGCCUUAUGGUUGUAAAGCACUUUAAGCGAGGAGGAGGCUCUUUUGGUUAAUACCCAAGAUGAGUGGACGUUACUCGCAGAAUAAGCACCGGCUAACUCUGUGCCAGCCGCCGCGGUAA
rnacentral:rRNA from 1 species